CAAGUUUACCUGCUCACUUUACCAAUAGCAACCACUGGGUGACUGCAGAGAACGUGUAAUGAGGCUCUGUGGACUGUUGUGGGCGUUGUCUUGGUCGUACUCUAGAGGUUAGAUGGGAAAAGGAAGAAACAGAACACUCUUCACUCUCAAUGCUCAGUGUCGUUACUUUUUCACUAAGCUACCAGCCACAUCAAAACCUUCAGCAGGAAGGGGUGUCACAGUCUGCUUCUUUCGACUUCAACAUGCCAGGUGAGCAUCCAGUCGUCAUGCUGGCUCUUUUUGGUUUGGUCCCUGUGUUGUAUAGUGUCUUCUUAUAAGUUUAUAUAAAGAAAAAACACUUAUUGUUUUUACCCCCCCAUAGAAACAGUAAAUGAGUUGAGACGCUUGCAGAGCUCCCAAUUUGGCCAAC